rnacentral:rRNA from 1 species
UGGGGAAUAUUGGACAAUGGGGGCAACCCUGAUCCAGCCAUGCCGCGUGAGUGAUGAAGGCCUUAGGGUUGUAAAGCUCUUUCAGCAGGGACGAUAAUGACGGUACCUGCAGAAGAAGCCCCGGCUAACUCCGUGCCAGCAGCCGCGGUAAGACGGAGGGGGCUAGCGUUGUUCGGAAUUACUGGGCGUAAAGCGCGCGUAGGCGGGUGUGCAAGUUGGGGGUGAAAGCCCGGGGCUCAACCUCGGAACUGCCUUCAAAACUGCACAUCUAGAGGACGGGAGAGGCAAGUGGAAUUCCCAGUGUAGAGGUGAAAUUCGUAGAUAUUGGGAAGAACACCGGUGGCGAAGGCGACUUGCUGGACCGGAUCUGACGCUGAGGUGCGAAAGCGUGGGGAGCGAACAGGAUUAGAUACCCCCGUAGUCC